GCAAGGAAAGGCCAAAUGCAAAUCAAAAAUCAAGUUGAAAUGAAUUACAUGAUACUAACUAAAUGUUAUGUUAGACUGCAACACUGUCUUGUAAGCUGUACGGCCGUAUAUGUUUAGACACUUCCAAGAUGGCGGACGCUGAACGUCAACACAGGCUUAUGCCAUUCACGUGUUAUUACUGUUGCUUCGAGGGAGACUUUGAUAUGGUUGUUGAACACUGCACAGAACUCCACUCCAAUCAAAUUCGUCUAAAGAAAACAUGUCUGCCUGCACAACACAGCAGAUUAUAGAUGACUGGGAUGAGCCUUUAAGAGACGUAUCAACCAUUCGUUUAAGGGACCAUUCGUUUGAUCUAGAGGAGCGAAGGCGAGGAAAAAGAACCAGAAAAUCUGGAAAAGUGUCUAAGCCACAAGGCGUCAGAGGCAAAGAUACUUCCCCAUGUGCGUCGUGGGUUAAACCUGGAAUCUUUUAACGACUCAUAGAAACUAGACUCUUUGAAGGACUCAUAGAAACACUACUCUUUUAAUACCUCAUAGAAAUUGGACUCUUUUAACGACUCAUAAUGUCAAAAUGGUUACACGGUGGUAUAUGAACUUGAUAAGUUUAUGUGCUACCAUUUUCAACAGUUGCUUAAAUACUUAUACUUCAUAUUUACACUGUUGGCUAAGUACUGAUUAUUAAUAAUUGGAAAGUAAAAUUGAUAUAACAUAUAA
rnacentral:lncRNA from 1 species